ensembl:misc_RNA non-protein coding RNA, repressor of NFAT
GGGAGCAAAUGGCGUCAGGAACUUUGAAACUUUCCUUUGUAUAUUACAUUAAUCCAUAUAAGAAAAUCUCUCUUUUAAUGAGGAGUGAUGUAGUCACAAACUCUCCAGAGCCAUAAUUAGAGCAAACUAAUUGAAGUUGUGUUUUGACACACUUUCCAAAUUCACGGGUGCCGGAUGACAUAUUCACAACACUGCUGCCGCACAACCAUGGCGACGGCAAAAUCAUUAAGCUAAUAACGCUUAUUUGCAUUCUUAUCAUGCCAGCAGCUCUCCCUUAAAUACUGUUUCUACUACUGCUCCUUUACUGUAACUUUCCACUAGACGGUAUUAACAGUGAUUAUUAGUGCUUUAGUGGAAUUUUAAUGUUAAGAA